rnacentral:rRNA from 1 species
GUAUCAGCUAGUUGGUGAGGUAAUGGCUCACCAAGGCUAUGACGCAUAACUGGUCUGAGAGGAUGAUCAGUCACACUGGAACUGAGACACGGUCCAGACUCCUACGGGAGGCAGCAGUAGGGAAUAUUGCUCAAUGGGGGAAACCCUGAAGCAGCAACGCCGCGUGGAGGAUGACACUUUUCGGAGCGUAAACUCCUUUUGUUAGGGAAGAACAAUGACGGUACCUAACGAAUAAGCACCGGCUAACUCCGUGCCAGCAGCCGCGGUAAUACGGAGGGUGCAAGCGUUACUCGGAAUCACUGGGCGUAAAGGACGCGUAGGCGGAUUAUCAAGUCUCUUGUGAAAUCCUAUGGCUUAACCAUAGAACUGCUUGGGAAACUGAUAAUCUAGAGUGAGGGAGAGGCAGAUGGAAUUGGUGGUGUAGGGGUAAAAUCCGUAGAGAUCACCAGGAAUACCCAUUGCGAAGGCGAUCUGCUGGAACUCAACUGACGCUAAUGCGUGAAAGCGUGGGGAGCAAACAGGAUUAGAUACCCUGGUAGUCCACGCCCUAAACGAUGUAUACUAGUUGUUGCUAAGCUAGUCUUGGCAGUAAUGCACCUAACGGAUUAAGUAUACCGCCUGGGGAGUACGGUCGCAAGAUUAAAACUCAAAGGAAUAGACGGGGACCCGCACAAGCGGUGGAGCAUGUGGUUUAAUUCGAAGAUACGCGAAGAACCUUACCCGGACUUGAUAUCUAACAAAUCAUCUAGAGAUAGAAGAGUGUCUGCUUGCAGAAAUGUUAAGACAGGUGCUGCACGGCUGUCGUCAGCUCGUGUCGUGAGAUGUUGGGUUAAGUCCCGCAACGAGCGCAACCCACGUCAUUAGUUGCUAACAGUUCGGCUGAGCACUCUAAUGAGACUGCCUUCGUAAGGAGGAGGAAGGUGUGGACGACGUCAAGUCAUCAUGGCCCUUAUGUCCGGGGCGACACACGUGCUACAAUGGCAUAUACAAUGAGAAGCAAUAUCGCGAGAUGGAGCAAAUCUAUAAAAUAUGUCCCAGUUCGGAUUGGAGUCUGCAACUCGACUCCAUGAAGCCGGAAUCGCUAGUAAUCG